rnacentral:rRNA from 1 species
UACGGGGGGGGGCAAGCGUUGUUCGGAAUUACUGGGCGUAAAGGGCUCGUAGGCGGCCAACUAAGUCCGACGUGAAAUCCCCAGCUUAACCUGGGAACUGCGUCGGAUACUGGAUGGCUUGAAUCCGGGAGAGGGAUGGCGGAAUUCCAGGUGUAGCGGUGAAAUGCGUAGAAUAUCUGGAGGAACACCGGUGGCGGAAGGCGCGA